rnacentral:tRNA from 1 species
GGAUUGUGGCUCAGUGGUAGAGUGCUUGCUUACCAUGCAUGAGGCACUGGAUUCAAUCCUCAGCACCA